CUCAAAGAUAAUCAAGGUUGAAAAUAAAAGGCGCGCUACAAUAGUUGAAUAAUAAUAACAGUAUUUUUCAUUUUAACCACAAUAAUGAUAGUGUUUUGAUUGAUAGAGCUGAUGAUUUGAUGACAAUAGAUGAUAAUUUUGUUUUGGUCCGUUUAUUGUGAUGACCAUUAAUGUGUCUUAUGUGGCUGUUAAUCUGGUCCAGAUGAUGUUGUGUUGGAUACAUUACCGGUGAUAAGAUUAAUGCAGCAUAUCAUUUGCAAAAAACACCAACAUCAUCAACAAUUUUGACCUGUUCCAAAAAAUUGUCAAACGCGGUGUCAACACAAGAUAAGACAGACACAUUUUCCUAUCGUCUGAAUUUGAUAUCGCCAUAUGUCUCAGGAUUCCAAGACUUUCUGAUUGUUCUACUGCUAUUAAGCUUGACUAAUUCCUUAUUUCAGACUGGAAUUCAGUGUUCUUUUAUAAUUUCCUGGAUAUGACAAGCAAAAGACCCACCGUUGCCCAAAGGACAAGAUUCAAGUUGCCGUAGCUUAAUAACCGUUAAUUUUCAAUCUCUUUACCUUGAAAUUUCUUUCACUUUAAACUCAUUCACAAAUUGUAUCGCUGUGAUAUUAAUUGUUGAUCAUGAAUUAAGGUGUAAUUUCAUGAAAUUGAUCGAAAAUUGUGAUACUGUAAACAACCGAAAGCGGACCUGACUGUUUAAGCCACUUCAUAGAGAAAGUGUUUUUUUAUUUUUAAUAUUUCACUUGAUAUUGUAUUUAAUGGAUACAAUGAGUGUAAUCUAGAAUUAAGGUGUGAUUAUCAAAUUAAUCGCAAUUACUCUCAAUCAUUAUAAUGCUUAAACCUUUCUUGGAAUGGACUUUUAAUGAUAACCCUCUGUUUUAUCGUACCUGUAAAAUCAGUGAUGGCCUCUGAUUUAAUUUCAAGCUUAUGUUAUGAUUAAUUGAUUGUCACGAGCUGUCAGGGCCAUUAUUCUUGUUACUGUUAUUGUUGUAGAUUGAGAUGAUAAUAACAGUGAGAGUAAUAAUUAUUAGCUUUUAUUUAUUAAAAAUUAGAUGAAAACUC